GCGUAUUCCGCAUUUACGUGUUCGCCGGAACGGCUCUUCUUUAUCCUCUCGCCGGGCAACCGACGCCGUCCACUCCGGCUUCGCCAGUUCGCCUCCUUCGCCGUCGCCAUGGCCGACGCUAAAUCCCAAGGCCGAGCACCGACUACCGCUCCCGCUCCCGCUCCCGCUCCCACAUGGGCGCAACGGACCGAGGCCCUGACACACAUCCUGACCCACCCGUCCCACUCGCCGUCGCUCCACUCGCAGCUCUUCCUCGCGUCCCGCGUCCCGUGCCCACCUCGGGGCUCCUCCUACCCGCCUUUCCUCUGCCCCGGCGCGUCGCUCCUCCGGUGGGCCCUCACCUCCGUCUUCCUGCCCCGCGCCGCGCGCCUUGGCCUGCCGCCUUCGUCCUGGCGCUCCCGGUGCCCCUUCCAGUUCCCGCCGCCGCUCGUGCCCUCCGCCGGCAUCGAGCCGGCACCGGAGCGGUGGACCGAGGCCGAGCUCCGGGGGUACGCGCAGCGGCGGCGGGCUCGGAGGGGGCCCAUGAGGACGCGGCCGCCGGUGUCCAUGGCGGGGGUGGUGCUGACGACCGUGCCCAACAUCGUGAUCAUCGUGGUCAUCAUGCGCGAGCUCUUCUGGGUCCGGCCUGGCCGCUUCUGAGCCAUUCAGGUAAGCGGAUGCUCACGCAGCCGUGCGAGUUCUUCAACUGUGGACUGCGGUGCACUGACAUUGUGUGAUAGUAGCAUAUUUGUUAUACAAAACAAAUCGUCGACUGCAGCUUGCGAAAUUGUGACACUAUUUCCAGCGUCUUCCAGUUUGGGUAGAACUUGUGAAUGCAGUGUUAUUUGUUACUCGUACAACUUUUAGCUGCAGAUGUUGCUCAACUAGGCUUCUCCAAAGAGAAAGCAUUCAAGUCUGAGAUAGAUGCUGCGAUCACCUGUUUUAGCUGCAGAUGUUGCUGAACUAGCCUUCUCCAAAGCACAAGUCUGGGACAGAUGCCGCGCUAACCUGUUCAACUGUUCAGCGAGAAACAACAAAUCGAUGAUCAGGAGGCACAUGGAUCUCAACUGCUCCAUCAAGCACCUGGGUCAUCUUAUGCAUUUUAGGGCGUGUCGCUUGCUCCUGUCAUUGCAGUAGUUGGUGUUCCCUGGUUCGAUCACUUGCCAUACUCAACCUAUUUACAGGUUGACUCCACACACCGCAGUGCCACUGCCACAAACAGCUGGACCCUCUUCAUGUCAAGGGAAGCUGCCUUGUCUUCCAGCACCAGAAGAUUGAUAUAUCCAGCCCAGUCCGUUAGAAUUGCUCUAUCCUCAUGAGAUAUUUCUUGUUCAACAUUUUACCUGCAAGAUAUGAGCUCCAAAAAGGGUAGAUGAGGGGAAGGUUUACAAGGAUAGAGCGUCCAUGGAGCAAAAGAGGUCCCAAGGACCCAAUAAUAUGUCUUGUCUUUCUUCCGCUUGUCGUGUCAUUGCUGAUCUCAGAUCAGGAGCUGCUGUUCUUUGGCACGUUUAGAUACAGUGUUCUGCUCAUGGUGCUUUUCGCCUUUCUGUUAGACAGCAGCAGCUCCUUCCAGCAAUGAACUUGGUGAAAUACCAGACUGCCAAAAAACAAAACUUGGUGAAAAAAAGUGCAGAAACAGUUCAACAUGCACAUCUCAUGCAAUUAUCCUGAUUGAUAGUGUACUUGUGCUCAUGGCAGCAAGAGCCCAGUCCACAGCUAUCACUGAAAGUAGAUCAAACUGGUUGGAUGUUGAAUGAUGUUCAUCAAAGUCACGACUCUGGGCUUGGACGUCUGCUUGGCACCCUCUGUACUUCUGCUGAUCAAUGAAUGCAUAACAUGUUGGGAACUGGCAAAUGGCAACCCACCUCUGGUUCCUGGUCCAGUCAAAUCUGCAGUACCUGUGCUUUAAUUUUGUGUUGAACUGCUGUGGUACAUGUUCAGCGUGCAUACUCUGCUUGCAUCUCCUGUUACAACGAUGUUGCAGAUGCCCCUUGAGAUGAAGUUGCAGGAACGUUCCACUGGAUGCUCGCUGCUGCCAUCUUUGGUAGAUGCAUCGCCGGAAUUCGCCAUCUGUUUCAAGCUGGGACGGUGGUGGUGGUCUGCCAUGCAGGUCAUCUCCACAUAUGUGAUGCUGAUUUUUGAUCUUUCAAGGCACGGUGAAGUACUACCAGCUGUGAGCCGCUCCUGACGAUGUCACUGGACCAAGACGAGCUGUAUUGGUUUCCACAGAGUGCAGCCACAGCGUAAAACACGGGGUCUCUCUCAUAAUCUUGCACAUUGAGGAGAAGCCUGCCACCGGUGUUGUCUGUCGCCAUGAGCCGGCUGCAGAGUUUUAUCCCAUGGAGCAUUGUUAAGCACUAGAUUGGGCAGGUCGGUAUUGGCCGGGUUGGUGAAGGUGUCCAAACCAACUGCCCUGGUAAGCACAGUCUCUGGUGUCUGUCGUAGGAUGCACAGAUGAAUCUGGGAUUCCAAAGCUCUGAGUGUGCUGAAGGAGCCACCCAAACUGUGCUUCAACUGGCAUUCGCAUGCUGUAGGUGGUGUAUCAAACGAUGGCCUUGCCAAACCAGAGGGUGACAAGCGAGCCAAAGGUUGUGUUGCGCUGAUGGAGCACUUGAGGAUGAGCAUCUUACAAGGAGGAUGGAGAAUUCGGGAGCCACCAUUUCUCUUUGCUAGUUGCAGCAGCUCUUGCUUGAGGCUGUAAACCUUCCACAUUAUCAGGAGCAUGGUUGAUUUAGACCAUCAAGUUAAUCUAUUGCCUAAUAUACUUUCUGGAAACGCGACAAGAACAAAUCCUUCA